rnacentral:rRNA from 1 species
AUUGAACGCUGGCGGCAGGCUUAACACAUGCAAGUCGAACGAGUGGCGGACGGGUGUGUAAUGCUUGGGAAUCUAGCUUAUGGAGGGGGAUAACUAUGGGAAACUGUAGCUAAUACCGCGUACCACAGGAUGAGCCCAAGUGGGAUGAGGUAGUUGGUGGGGUAAAGGCUCACCAAGCCGACGAUCGCUAGCUGGUCUGAGAGGCUGACCAGCCACACGGGGACUGAGACAAGGCCAAGGCUCAUACGAUAGGCAGCAGUGGGGAAUAUUGCGCAGAGGGAGCAACCUGGCGCAGCCAUGCCGAGUGAGUAAAGAAGGCCUUAGGGUUGUAAAGUUCUUUCGGUAGCGAAACGUUAACUGCAGAGAAAGCACCGGCUAACUACGUGCCAGCAGCCGCGGUAAUAC